rnacentral:rRNA from 1 species
GACGAACGCUGGCGGCGUGCUUAACACAUGCAAGUCGAACGGAAAGGCCCUGCUUUUGUGGGGUGCUCGAGUGGCGAACGGGUGAGUAACAAGUGAGUAACCUGCCCUUGACUUUGGGAUAACUUCAGGAAACUGGGGCUAAUACCGGAUAGGAGCUCCUGCUGCAUGGUGGGGGUUGGAAAGUUUCGGCGGUUGGGGAUGGACUCGCGGCUUAUCAGCUUGUUGGUGGGGUAGUGGCUUACCAAGGCUUUGACGGGUAGCCGGCCUGAGAGGGUGACCGGCCACAUUGGGACUGAGAUACGGCCCAGACUCCUACGGGAGGCAGCAGUGGGGAAUAUUGCACAAUGGGCGGAAGCCUGAUGCAGCAACGACGCGUGCGGGAUGACGGCCUUCGGGUUGUAAACCGCUUUCGCCUGUGACGAAGAGUGAGUGACGGUAAUGGGUAAAGAAGCACCGGCUAACUACGUG